UUAAGGAGAAAGAGGAAGGUUCCUUUGUGUGCCAAUAGGUGGGGAUUGGAGCUCAUUUUUCAAAUUAAGAGUAACUAAGGAGAGAAAGCAAUACCCUGAUAAAGAGUCCAGUAUGGUGGGAGAGUCCAAGAACAAGAGAUGCUGGCUUGGCUCGGCCUCAAGGAGUUGUUCUCGCAGAGGAAUGCGUGCAGGGAUGGAAAACAAAGCACGCCUCUGCUCCCAGCCUGCCUCUGAGGUCCGGAGAACCGCUCAGAGCAGUCAUUGUCCUGACCCAGAGGGGAUGAAGCACUGGUACUGAAAGGGCUGGCUGCCACCCUUACCCUCUGUCACUUUUAGCAUGGCCCCAGUCCUGCAGAGAAGCCCUCAGCUUUACUAUUCCGAAAUCAGUGGCGUCAGGUAAUCCUGGCAAUGUCAGCCCAGAGGGGAGGUGUUUACCCAAAACAGAUGUGUGUGUGUCCUAGUCUGACCCUUGGUGAAUAUUGUAAGAUGGUAUUUUUCUUGCCAUACUCCCAGCACAGUGUGUGCAGGGAAGCAAUACAAUGCUUAUGCAGACUCUCUGCUGAGCUUGGCCACCAGACUGUAAGUCCAUUGAGGUGUCCGUGGUCACACCGAACAGGACCUGGUGCUGUCUCUAGGGUGCCAGGCUGAGACCUUCCUCCCAGUCCAGAGUGGUCUGGUAAGAUCCCUUCGUGUGUUAUUUUUACCAUCCACUGGACAUGGGUCUUCAGGAGCAGCCCCAGGCUCUGGAGGUAGCUUUAGGCAGAACUGUAGUCCCACCAAAACCAGUAGACUCUUCUGGCUAUGUGGAUGCACGUGCUUCUCUGUCUUGAAAAUUUAUAACACAAAAUCUCGAAUUGUAGGCAUUUGUGUAAAGCCAGUAUUUUGAGUUGAUCCAUCAGUCUGUUUUAGAUUAGCUAGAGCUAGCUCUAAGCACAAACUUUCCUCCCCAGUCAGAUCCAGUUCCAUGGAUGUUUUGGUGUGAGAGCCCCCCAAGUGUCUGGAGCUGCACUGUGGAUUGUUAGUGGCAGUUUUAGGCUUGGGAUGUAGCUUUAAGCAUUUUGUUGUACACCAAAACAAGCAGGGCAUUUCUUGAUUAUGGAGAUGUCCAUUCUCCGUUUAUCUUCCUACUUCAAGGCUUAAUACAGCAAACGCUGAAAAUGUAUCAGUUGGUCUUCCCGCUGCCUACCUCCCCACCCUCACUUCCUCCAGCUAUUUGCUUUAAGUUAUUUGCUCAGGAUUUGUUUUCCCUCUGACUUUACAAGUUUGCCUUGCACAGCAAAAAACCUGCUAUUUUGUUCUCUCUGGUAUUUGGCAGGAAAACAAAAAGAACACAAAGAAGAAAAGGAUAAUCAUUGUUUUUUUUCCUGAUGAUUUAACACACAAGUGUUCUUUUUAGUGCUACUGUUGCUGCUGUGUUAAAGCAUCUUCUUUUCUUAGGCACGCCAAGAGCUACUGUGGAGAGAAGAAAACAGGGUGUCUCUUAACUGUGCUUUCCUGGGGCUGGCAGUGGGCUCUAAGCUGAGACCUGCCCAUCCGCCUGGUGCUUGCUAGCAAGGCUCCCUCACAUGUUAUUUUGAUCCAGGUGAUGGAGUUGGACAGAGCGGCUUUUGUGCAGGGAUUUGCAAAACUCGUCUCUUUUUGCUGUUCUAUUCCAGUGGAAGUUGAAACAGGUUGGGGGUAACCUUCCUCUCCUCAGGACGUACGAAACGGUUGAUGAAAGAUCCCCGGUGGCUUCUUCCAAAUAACUGAGCAAGGACUGGUUUGACAGCAGGAACAGGUGAUGCACAGGGCACACUGAACGAGAAGGCAAUCCAGCAAGGCCAGUGGGAUGAACUCUCCUAAGGGAGUCUUCUGAGGGCCAGAAGGAAGAAGCCUGGGGGUACAGGCUAUUUUCUCUCCUUUCUUUCUCUAAUGCUCUCAGUCAUUCCCUGCCCCCUCCUGCUUGCAUGAGAGAAAACCAAGAGUCCCUCACCUUCCUCAUACUGCACAGCGGGUGGAAGAGGCUUGCUCACAGAAUGAAAGAAGCAGCAGGAAGAGGAAAAUAAGCAGCUGAGUCAUUAGUGCAAAAAAAAACCUUCAGGAAAGGGGAGGAUUGGAAGGGGCUGGCCAUGAAACUUCAAGAGAAACCACAAAUACGGCAGUGGACGUUUACAAAGGCAGUCCCCCUCCAUCUGCGGAGAAAGGGCUACAAUGGCUCCCACAGAGGACACGGAGGGUACCAGGCAGCCCUUGCCCAGGGACAGUGGCAGCAUUCAGCGGGUUCCAGCUGCUGAGAAAUAUGUGGAAAUUACAUGCUGUAAGUCAGUCAGCUAAAUAAACAAGGCAGAAAAAUGGCUGAGUCAGAAAAAGUGGACUAUUAAGUUCAAAUGCGUUAUUAAUUGGAAAACUGCUUAACACAGCUGGAGAUCCUAUGGGCAUGGGUAAACAAAAAUAUGAUGAUGAGAGAACCAAUUAAAGCACUAAUUAGUCCUUUUAGGAAGUUGUCCAGGUCCAUUAAUGAUAACCCUUAAUUGUAAGCUAUGGAACAGACAACUUAUCUGUAUUGCUGCUGCUGCCUUGAGCAUGUCCUCUGUGUGUGUGUGUGUGUGUGUGUGUGUCUUGCUUUUUUGUGUCUAUACAGAAAUCAUCAACUUAAGAAACUGCACACUUAUCAGUGGCAAGUGCAGGUUAAUGAAAAAUUAGAAACUUGCUCUUCCAACUACCCGGUGGGUAGUUCACCGAAGAAUUAUGUACUGGGAUAGAAAUUAUGCGGGUCCAUUUUCUGAAAGGAAGGACUACCAAUUUUUCCCUCUCAUUCCCACAGCAGCAGAAAUAAAGCAGCAAUGCUGGAGCUGAAACUGUUUGCAAGAGCUAAGCAUUAAGUAUUAAUAACCAAGUAAUUAUCGUACCAAUAACUAUAAUGAAAAACACAAGGUAGUGUUUCCAGAAGAUUACGCUUUGCAGAGAUGGAAAGAGGUUUCACGCAGUCCAUUGCCCUGCCUGUACAGAAUAUAGUUUCAAGGCUGAGGAAUUCAACAAUUACUGAACUGAACGUUCACUUGAUCUUGGCCUCUGCAGCUCUGCCUUCACCAAUAAAAGCAACUGUGGAAUUAGUAGGGUGAGGGAAAACGCCCAUGUGCUUGCAAAUAAGAACGCUGGCCUCCUCCUCUAUUUCUAUGUAUGUGGAGCCGUUUUUCUGUUCAAGUGCAUCGAGAAGAAACCUUCACACGUUUGUGUCUUGGACUGUAAGCGCCCCUGAAAAUAACAGUUUUUCAAGGUAUAGUAAAUCUGAAUGAGUAUGUGCAAAAGGUCGCUUCUCCUUCUGCUCAGAGACAAUAAAACAUGUACAACAAACAGAAACAUUAUCAGGAUGCCAGAAGCCUUCUUGUAUGUUGGUGAAAAUUCUCUCAGACCAUCAUGUUGGCCUUCUGUGUUUUCCCAAAUCUCAGAUUCCUAAGUUUUCUCUGAAACACUAAGUUUUAUACUCCAGAAACAAAUACAGUUUUAGGUUCCCAUCCAAGUUGCUGGGCAGAUUUUCAUUAGUGCAUGAACUAAAGGGCAUGUGGACCUUUGCAUACACCCAUUUAGUUUGCAAACUCCAGGGCAGGCAAGCGGCACCUUGCUUUUAAUAGCUAUACUGGCUGGAGUCCUACUGUGAGGAAAUGAAAGGAAUGCUCUGUUCAUCGAAUGACCAAGGCUUAUUUCCUUCUUUCCAUGACUGUACAGUUGGACUUCUAGGUCCUUCUGAUGUGUGAGCCCCAGCUAAUCUGCACCACGUGUGCUUCAGUAGCUCGUUACUGAGUAGGACAGUCCUGAUGGGGUUGUAAUAACAGCCUGGCCUGGGAACAACAGCUCCUCUUUUUGCUUUGCUCUGCAUCCACGUGCAAGGGUGCUAGACUCCCUAUUCUAAACUUCCAGUCAAAACCAGGUGGGAUAAGUCAUCUCUCGAGAAGCAUCUGCCUGCCACUGGUGACUAAGACUGCUUAAUUUAGAGCAGAUGCCCAACUUUUAAAUAGAUGGCUCAAAUUAGGUGAGGCAAAUCCCACCCACAGGGAAAGUUUCUGAUCAGCUGAAGCUCGUGCAGGACUAUGGAAAUGUGUGUUAAAUUUUCCAUUGUUGAGAUUUAAAAAACUGUUGGGAAAAUCAAAUACCAAAUAACUGUAUAAAUUAUAAUAGCCUGAAACAACCUUGCAAACCACUGGCUCAUGGAACAAAACAUGAUCUUACAGCUCUUGUGUGGUGGAGAUUCCUCUAUUUGCUUUCCUUUCAAGAUGCAGCUGCAAUAACAAGGCAUAUGUGAUUUUAAUGUGACACCAUAAUCUGUCAACCCUGAGAAAUAGGGAGCAGGCCCAUAUAAGAUAACUAGCUCAACCUCACAAUGAUAAACAUGUCAAGAUACAAAAAUCAGUUCUUCCCUUACAAAUGAGAGAAAGAUGUCAUGUAAUUGGAGAUGUCAUGCUAUGCUGGGAUGAGCAACAUUCCCACAAUUAAUCAUACCAGAUACAUUAUGUAGUAGUUGUUGCUUGAAGACAAAGGAGGAAUAAAUACUCAUGUAAACACGCCAAAUACGAACUCUCCACAGAUGUUGAUUGCUGUUCUAUAUUUAGCAAGAAGCACAUCAGUACGUGGAAGAUAUGCUCUCCACCCAAGCAGAAUGAUAGCUCGGAAAAGGGCUUAUGACUGUGCGGAGGCUGCAGGUAAUGUGGCUGGUGUAUUUUCUAGGGUCCUUAGGAAACUGGAUGUUAGGAGCUCCCCUAUUGACAGCAAAGGAAAAUUUGCCAUUUUCAUGAAUUAGGACUGCAUUGGGGCCCUGGUGAACAAGAGAUGUUUGGCUGACGAUACAGUGGCUUAGAAACUGAAGGCGAGUUCAAAAGUUCCUAACAACACUUCCAAACAAGAACUUUGUGAAUACAAUGCAAAAGCAACCAUGCAUAUUUGCUGGAAUAAAAAACCAAAUUAGCUUCAAGCUGGGUUUGUGAUUCCUCCCUGACUUGUAUGUUUACUUUUCAUUAAUAUUGAUUCCUUCUGACCUUCAAGUGCCUCUUCUUCAUUGUACAUGCUCCACAGUGACUAGCUUACUGGCAAUAAUAUUAAUAGCAACAGAAAUGUUAACAAUAGAGACUAUUUGCAUGCAGAAAUGUCACCUUGUGAAUAAAGAUUUUUUUUUUUUUCAUCAGAAAUCCUCAUCUGGGGACCAAAAAUGAUAUACUGUGUGACCUUGUAUAUAGUGAAGCUGACUGGUAUUGCAUGAAUUUUGAUAUCAUAACAAAUGGCUGACAAGCAGUGCAGAGACAUAUGAUCCAUCCUGAAAACAGCUCAGACAUGAGAUUGAUAUAUAAGAUUAGGAAGCCAUAACCUCUAGGUGACCCAUAUGGAAAUGAGAGCCAGGCUAAAUUCAAUGAGUAAAAUGCUUGCUUAGGUCUAGCCAAAAUGAAGAGGUUUUACAUUGAUUUAAUUCUUGCCUUUGACUUUUUUACUGCUUCUCUUUGAUUUCCUUGUCAGCAGCAAAGUUUCCAUUCCCAUCACCAGCAGUGAUUUGGGAGCGUGGUUGGAGAGUGCUUCUGAAGACACUUCUCCCUUGGCAUCUGCCAGGGUUUCUGUAGCUGUGUUGAUCCCUUCCAGCCCUUGGCCUGGGUUUACUUCAGCUGUGUCCCUCUGGCCUCAUGGGAGAGACAGCUAGGCAAUGGCAAAGGUCGCUUCCUCCUCCGUUUCUGAAGUGCCUAUUCCACGAAGGGAUGCGUUGCCUUCAGGAGCCGACGUUCUCCCCUGGGUGUAAUCAGAACCUAGAGAUCCAGCCUCCCGUGCUAGACACACCGCAUACCUGGAGUUACAUGUAAUAUAUCCAGGCCUCGGUGUUCCUUUGCUAAUUGAUUUCUGCUCCACGGGCUAGCCUGUUCAGUAAGUGAAAUUCUCCUAGAAGGAAAAAAUGCCUUUCGCUCUAUGUUUUCCAUGGGGAGCUCUUGUAGAAUAAGGAGUGUGGAACAGCUUACUCCGAAAUAGCUGUGCCAGGAGUCCUUCUGCCCUUCUUCCCAGGGUGAAAUUUGUUUUUGUUUUUGUUUUAGUACUAUGGAAAAAAUCCUCUUUCUAUAAGAAGCAGCUAAACACAGAAAUCUUUUGCAGUCCC